rnacentral:rRNA from 1 species
AUUGCCCUAGUAACGGCGAGUGAAGCGGCAACAGCUCAAAUUUGAAAUCUGGCCCUCGUGGUCCGAGUUGUAAUUUGUAGAGGAUGCUUUUGGUGCGGUACCUUCCGAGUUCCCUGGAACGGGACGCCAUAGAGGGUGAGAGCCCCGUCUGGUCGGAUACCAAUCCUCUGUAAAGCUCCUUCGACGAGUCGAGUAGUUUGGGAAUGCUGCUCAAAAUGGGAGGUAUAUGUCUUCUAAAGCUAAAUAUUGGCCAGAGACCGAUAGCGCACAAGUAGAGUGAUCGAAAGAUGAAAAGCACUUUGAAAAGAGGGUUAAAUAGUACGUGAAAUUGUUGAAAGGGAAGCGUUUGUGACCAGACUUGGGCCCGGUUAAUCAUCCGGCGUUCUCGCCGGUGCACUUUGCCGGCCCAGGCCAGCAUCAGUUCGCUGCGGGGGAAAAAGGCUUCGGGAAUGUGGCUCCUCUAGAGUGUUAUAGCCCGUUGUGCAAUACCCUGUGGUGGACUGAGGUUCGCGCAUCUGCAAGGAUGCUGGCGUAAUGGUCAUCAACGACCCGUCUUGAAACACGGACCAAGGAGUCGUCUUCGUAUGCGAGUGUUCGGGUGUCAAACCCCUACGCGUAAUGAAAGUGAACGGAGGUGGGAGCCUCGGCGCACCAUCGACCGAUCCUGAUGUUUUCGGAUGGAUUUGAGUAAGAGCAUACGGGGCCGGACCCGAAAGAAGGUGAACUAUGCCUGUAUAGGGUGAAGCCAGAGGAAACUCUGGUGGAGGCUCGCAGCGGUUCUGACGUGCAAAUCGAUCGUCAAAUAUGGGCAUGGGGGCGAAAGACUAAU